rnacentral:snRNA from 1 species
AGCUUUGUGUAGUGGCCAUAUCGGAGGCACAAUUAUUGCUAAUUGAAACGCUUCCCAAUACCUUGCUGCAACAACUUGCAAUAUAGUCAGCAUUGACAAUUGUUGGCAGGAUCUAUGGAGACUGAAUAAC